GAUGAACGCUGGCGGCGUGCCUAAUACAUGCAAGUCGAGCGAACAGAUAAGGAGCUUGCUCCUUUGAUGUUAGCGGCGGACGGGUGAGUAACACGUGGGUAACCUACCUAUAAGACUGGGAUAACUUCGGGAAACCGGAGCUAAUACCGGAUAACAUUUGGAACCGCAUGGUUCUAAAGUGAAAGAUGGUUUUGCUAUCACUUAUAGAUGGACCCGCGCCGUAUUAGCUAGUUGGUAAGGUGACGGCUUACCAAGGCAACGAUACGUAGCCGACCUGAGAGGGUGAUCGGCCACACUGGAACUGAGACACGGUCCAGACUCCUACGGGAGGCAGCAGUAGGGAAUCUUCCGCAAUGGGCGAAAGCCUGACGGAGCAACGCCGCGUGAGUGAUGAAGGGUUUCGGCUCGUAAAACUCUGUUAUUAGGGAAGAACAAAUGUGUAAGUAACUGUGCACGUCUUGACGGUACCUAAUCAGAAAGCCACGGCUAACUACGUG
rnacentral:rRNA from 1 species